GUUGAGAACCACUGCUCUAAAGGCACCAGAUCUCAUCUGAUCUUGAAAGUUAAGCAGGGUCAGUCCUACUUAGUACUUGGAUGUGAGACAGCAGUAAACACUAGGCGCUGUAGGCU
rnacentral:rRNA from 1 species